GAUUAACGCGGGCGGCGUGCAUAACACAUGCAAGUCGAACGAUGAAACUUUUUUGAUUUUUCGGAAUGAUUAAAAGUGGAUUAGUGGCGGACGGGUGAGUAACGCGUGAGUAACCUGCCUUAGAGAAGGGGAUAGCCUUUGGAAACGAAGAAUAAUACCCUAUGAAACCAUAACCUCGCAUGAGGCCUUGGUCAAAGAUUUAUCGCUCUAAGAUGGACUUGCGUCUGAUUAGUUAGUUGGUGGGGUAACGGCCCACCAAGACAGCGAUCAGUAGCCGGCUUGAGAGAGUGUACGGCCACAUUGGGACUGAGACACGGCCCAGACUCCUACGGGAGGCAGCAGUGGGGAAUUUUGCACAAUGGGGGAAACCCUGAUGCAGCGACGCCGCGUGAUUUAGAAGGCCUUCGGGUUGUAAAAAUCUUUUCUAUGGGAAGAAAAUGACAGUACCAUAGGAAUAAGGACCGGCUAAUUACGUGCCAGCAGCCGCGGUAAUACGUAAGGUCCGAGCGUUGUCCGGAAUCAUUGGGCGUAAAGGGUACGUAGGCGGGUAAGCAAGUUAGAAGUGAAAUCCUAUAGCUCAACUAUAGUAAGCUUUUAAAACUGCUCAUCUUGAGGUAUGGAAGGGAAAGUGGAAUUCCUAGUGUAGCGGUGAAAUGCGCAGAUAUUAGGAGGAAUACCGGUGGCGAAGGCGACUUUCUGGCCAUAACCUGACGCUGAGGUACGAAAGCGUGGGUAGCAAACAGG
rnacentral:rRNA from 1 species